GAUGAACGCUAGCUACAGGCUUAACACAUGCAAGUCGAGGGGCAGCACAGUGUAGCAAUACAUGGGUGGCGACCGGCGCACGGGUGCGUAACGCGUAUCCAACCUUCCCGUUACUCAGGGAUAGCCUUCCGAAAGGGAGAUUAAUACCUGAUGGUAUUCAAAUUUCGCAUGUUAUUUGAAUUAAAGAUUUAUCGGUAACGGAUGGGGAUGCGUGACAUUAGGUAGAUGGCGGGGUGACGGGCCCACCAUGCCUACGAUGUCUAGGGGUUCUGAGAGGAAGGUCCCCCCANACUGGAACUGAGACACGGUCCAGACUCCUACGGGAGCAGCAGUGAGGAUAUGGUCAAUGGCCGAAGGCUGAACCA
rnacentral:rRNA from 1 species